UACGUAGGGCGCAAGCGUUGUCCGGAAUUAUUGGGCGUAAAGAGCUCGUAGGUGGCUUGUCACGUCGGGUGUGAAAGCUUGGGGCUUAACUCCAGGUCUGCAUUCGAUACGGGCUGGCUAGAGGUAGGUAGGGGAGAACGGAAUUCCCGGUGUAGCGGUGAAAUGCGCAGAUAUCGGGAGGAACACCGGUGGCGAAGGCGGUUCUCUGGGCCUUACCUGACGCUGAGGAGCGAAAGCGUGGGGAGCGAACAGG
rnacentral:rRNA from 1 species